UUCCUUAGCUCAGUCGGUAGAUCUUGAAACUCCUAAUCUCUGGGUCGCGGGUUUGAGCCCCACAUUGGGCAAAA